rnacentral:misc_RNA from 1 species
ACCCCGUCGCCAACAACGCCUGGGUCUACGCCACCAAGUUCACGCCGGGCUCGUGAAUGGCCCAGCCGCCAUUGUAGACUACUCUCUCUCUCCAUCGCUCGAUGUACCAAUGCUUGCACAGAUUGUACGAUGCUGUGAUGAAUCUGAUAUGAUCCAUCCAGAAUUCAGAAACUGAAAAAAGUUGGGGUUUGCAACUUAUGUGUCAGCUGCUGCUUUAAGCUUAGUUAACUCUUUUGAUGUUUUAAUUUGUACAUUUGUGUACUUUGUAAUGAUCCAUACGAG